CCUACGGGUUGCACCAGUGGGGAAUAUUGGACAAUGGGGGCAACCCUGAUCCAGCAAUGCCGCGUGAGUGAUGCAGGCCUUCGGGUUGUAAAGCUCUUUUGUCAGGGACGAUGAUGACGGUACCUGGAGAAUAAGCCCCGGCUAACUUCGUGCCAGCAGCCGCGGUAAUACGAAGGGGGCAAGCGUUGUUCGGAAUUACUGGGCGUAAAGGGCGCGUAGGCGGCUUAUCAAGUCAGGCGUGAAAUUCCCGGGCUCAACCUGGGGGCUGCGCUUGAUACUGAUGAGCUUGAAUGCGGGAGAGGAUAAUGGAAUUCCCAGUGUAGAGGUGAAAUUCGUAGAUAUUGGGAAGAACACCGGUGGCGAAGGCGGCUAUCUGGCCCGUAAUUGACGCUGAGGCGCGAAAGCGUGGGGAGCAAACAGGAUUAGAUACCCUCGUAGUC
rnacentral:rRNA from 1 species